rnacentral:piRNA from 1 species
CAGACCCGAGAGGCUGAGGAACAG